rnacentral:misc_RNA from 1 species
AAAAGUCGUAACAAGGUCUCCGUUGGUGAACCAGCGGAGGGAUCAUUACUGAGUUUACAACUCCCAACCCAUGUGAACAUACCUUUUGUUGCUUCGGCGGGAUGCCCCCGGCGCCUUGCGUGCCCGGGAAUCAGGCCCCCGCCGGAGGACCCAAACUCUUGUUUUUAUAUAGAACUUCUGAGUGGAUUAUUUUAAUAAUUAAAACUUUCAACAACGGAUCUCUUGGUUCUG